AUUGAACGCUGGCGGCAGGCUUAACACAUGCAAGUCGAGCGGWAACRRKRRWAGCUUGCUWYYMGSYGWCGAGCGGCGGACGGGUGAGUAAUACUUAGGAAUCUACCUAGUAGUGGGGGAUAGCACGGGGAAACUCGUAUUAAUACCGCAUACGACCUACGGGAGAAAGGGGGCAGUUUACUGCUCUCGCUAUUAGAUGAGCCUAAGUCGGAUUAGCUAGAUGGUGGGGUAAAGGCCUACCAUGGCGACGAUCUGUAGCUGGUCUGAGAGGAUGAUCAGCCACACCGGGACUGAGACACGGCCCGGACUCCUACGGGAGGCAGCAGUGGGGAAUAUUGGACAAUGGGGGRAACCCUGAUCCAGCCAUGCCGCGUGUGUGAAGAAGGCCUUUUGGUUGUAAAGCACUUUAAGCAGUGAAGAAGACUCCRUGGUUAAUACCCAYGGACGAUGACAUUAGCUGCAGAAUAAGCACCGGCUAACUCUGUGCCAGCAGCCGCGGUAAUACAGAGGGUGCAAGCGUUAAUCGGAAUUACUGGGCGUAAAGGGAGCGUAGGUGGCUCUAUAAGUCAGAUGUGAAAUCCCCGGGCUUAACCUGGGAACUGCAUCUGAAACUGUAGAGCUAGAGUAUGUGAGAGGAAGGUAGAAUUCCAGGUGUAGCGGUGAAAUGCGUAGAGAUCUGGAGGAAUACCGAUGGCGAAGGCAGCCUUCUGGCAUAAUACUGACACUGAGGCUCGAAAGCGUGGGUAGCAAACAGGAUUAGAUACCCUGGUAGUCCACGCCGUAAACGAUGUCUACUAGUCGUUGGGUCCCUUGAGGACUUAGUGACGCAGCUAACGCAAUAAGUAGACCGCCUGGGGAGUACGGCCGCAAGGUUAAAACUCAA
rnacentral:rRNA from 1 species